rnacentral:lncRNA from 1 species
GAACAGGACACAGAGGAUGGACAGAGGCCACCACAGGAGGGAAAUUGCCCUUGGGGGAGCAGCUACCAGAUCCUGUCGCUGUGACUUGGAGAGGUGUUUCUUCUCCUUCGACUUUCCCCCAGUAUCCUUGGCUCUCAUCCUCACCUGUGCCCCUUCUGACUCUCGGGUUCGCCCUCAAAUUCUCUCCCUCCAGCCCAGCUUCAUGGACUCGGGGUCUGUUCAGACAAAGCCCCUGCUCCUCAGAAUGGCCUUGUGCUUGGUUCAGUGCUCUGCUUUCACCACCUUAUAACUCUUCAUAGUUUUGUCUUUGAACUUGUAAUUUGGGCAUGAAGUCCAGAGGGACAAUGGAGGAUAGUGUGUGAGCCGAGGAGGUACACGGAAUGUGCCACGUGCGUGGGCUCCAGUGGCCCCACCACGCGUGGGGGCUCAGAGAGACUCAGUGAGGACACGGCAAGUGUGUCAUGCGCACAGCUGAGUAACGGGGUGCUGACAGCUGAGAGAGGCCACACUUCACAUUCGAAGCAGAACCUGAACCCUGGAAGGCAACGGCCUUCUGGAAGACGCAGGUGACCAACCGCGUCUGCUGGUGACAAUGAGAAGGAAGGAAAGGGGGACGUUGUUCCGCCCGUAAUUCCGUUUGCUUCCAGUCCUUCUGUGCUCAUCAGUAAGUCGAAGGCAGAAAAAUGUGAAUUUUUCUUUAUAUCGAACAACGUUAACUAGCAAAACCCCAUGAGAAGUCGAGAAAAGAACCACAGAAGGAAGGAAAACAUUUUCUCUUUCAGGACCGUGAACGGUGCUUUUUUCCCCGCUUCCUGACCGAGGUGAUUCCACAUCUUCGUUUGGCACCAUGUCCUGCAACAGUGGGUCCUGCUUCAGUUUUUUCUACAGUCUCUGGAUUAAUUUUCUCCAGAUACAGUUUUAAUUAGGCCACUCCUCACCUCAAAGGUCCUCGCUGGCUUCCGGUUGCCCUGCAGGACGGAGUCCUGAUUCUUUUGUCCAACCCUCAGCGCAUUCCACCGCCUAGACCCAGCCUGCGUCCCCAGCCUCCUUUCCCACUAGGACCUGACUGGUCCUCUGCUGGAGCUGAGCUGGCCACUCCCAGGACGGGCUGUGCUCCCUCACUCCUGACUUCACACCUUUGUCCAUUCCAUUCCCUCCUCCUGGAAGGCGGCCCACCCUUCAGAGUCCAGCCCCAACUCCAUUCAUUCACUCAAUGCGUAUCUAAUGAGCAUUUACUUAGAGCCAGGCACUGUUCUGCUCCCUGGGCUCCUGGGACUCUCAUUCCAAUAAACAAUGAAAACAAGCAAACAACUAAAACAAUGUAGUGUAAUAUUAUGCAGAAAAAAUAAAACAGGGUGAUGUGCCAGAAUGCCCCUGGAUGGGCAGGGAGGGCCUUACUGAAGAGCUAACGUUCAGUGUGAGACCCAAGGAACCCAAAGAACCACGGGACCUGAGGAGAAGAAUCUUCCAGGAGGAGGAAAGUCUAAGUGCAAGAGCUGGGCUUCAGUGAGGGGAAGGCAAGGUUAAUGUAGCAAGAGAU